AACCUGCCCAAGAGAUCGGGAUAACACCUGGAAACAGAUGCUAAUACCGGAUAACAACAGAUGAUGCCUAUCAACUGUUUAAAAGAUGGUUCUGCUAUCACUCUGGAUGGACCUGCGGUGCAUUAGCUAGUUGGUAGGGUAACGGCCUACCAAGGCGAUGAUGCAUAGCCGAGUUGAGAGACUGAUCGGCCACAUUGGGACUGAGACACGGCCCAAACUCCUACGGGAGGCAGCAGU
rnacentral:rRNA from 1 species